rnacentral:rRNA from 1 species
UACAGGGGGGGCGAGCGUUGUUCGGAAUUACUGGGCGUAAAGGGUUUGUAGGUGGCUUGCUCAGUCAGACGUGAAAUCCCUCAGCUUAACUGGGAACUGCGUCUGAUACUAGCGAGCUUGGAGUGCAGGAGAGGAACGCGGAAUUCCAGGUGUAGCGGUGAAAUGCGUAGAUAUCUGGAGGAACACCGGUGGCGAAGGCGGCUGCACUGGCCCGGUACUGACGCUGAGGUGCGAAAGCGUGGGGAGCAACAGGAUUAAGAUACC